AGCGGCGGACGGGUGAGUAACGCGUGGGUAACCUGCCUCAUACAGGGGGAUAACAGUUAGAAAUGACUGCUAAUACCGCAUAAGCACACAGAACCGCAUGGUUCGGGGUGAAAAGCCGAGACGGUAUGAGAUGGACCCGCGUCUGAUUAGCUAGUUGGAGGGGUAACGGCCCACCAAGGCGACGAUCAGUAGCCGACCUGAGAGGGUGACCGGCCACAUUGGGUCUGAGACACGGCCCAAACUCCUACGGAAGGCAGCAG
rnacentral:rRNA from 1 species